GACGAACGCUAGCGGCGUGCUUAACACAUGCAAGUCGAACGGAAAGGCCUCUUUCGGGGGGUACUCGAGUGGCGAACGGGUGAGUAACACGUGAGUAACCUGCCCUUGACUUUGGGAUAACUUCAGGAAACUGGGGCUAAUACCGGAUAGGAGCUCCUGCUGCAUGGUGGGGGUUGGAAAGUUUCGGCGGUUGGGGAUGGACUCGCGGCUUAUCAGCUUGUUGGUGGGGUAGUGGCUUACCAAGGCUUUGACGGGUAGCCGGCCUGAGAGGGUGACCGGCCACAUUGGGACUGAGAUACGGCCCAGACUCCUACGGGAGGCAGCAGUGGGGAAUAUUGCACAAGGGGUGGAAGCCUGAUGCAGCAACGCCGUGUGCGGGAUGACGGCCUUCGGGUUGUAAACCGCUUUCGCUCAUGACGAAGCUUUGUGUGACGGUAGUGGGUAAAGAAGCACCGGCUAACUACGUG
rnacentral:rRNA from 1 species